CCUCGAGCCAUGCUGCAAACAUACACUCGGCUGCUAGCAGGAGAUUUCCGGAGCUGCGCAAUGCACCCACACGUUUCUUCAAGUUCUGCUGCUUCUGGAGAUGGCCUCCAAGACAGAAAUAGAACACAACAGGAAUCACUGGCCACAACUGACAAGUACAGCUCACCUGGCGACCAACACCUGGCGAUUUCCCUACAUCCUUUGCCAGUGGGGCCACAUCUGGUUGCACCAGUGAUUUCCAGCAAAGGCAAAGUCUGAACUAUUCCGGUUGACUUGAUGACCUACAGCUGAGAGCUGGUUUAUGAUGGAGAAGGAUACUGAGACGUCUAGAGGUGGAGAGAGUGACUGCCCCUGAGGAAAUGCCUAACCAACUGCACUAGAGGCAACCAGACCAGAGGGACAAAGAAUGUGAGCUCAGAUUUCCUAUGGGUUUUCUGUAAAACUUUGAGCAUCUAUAAAUGAAGAUAAUGAUGGUGAUUUCUUCAAAGAACUACUCUGAGGAUUCAACAAGGUCACAUUUGUAAGUCUUUUCUAUGACUGAUGAGCAAGGAGGAAGGCUGGGUUGACAAUGGAG
rnacentral:lncRNA from 1 species